CUGGACUACUACCUGAUGUAGUCGGUACUACUUGCAAUCAACAUCUUGAGAAAGUACUUGGAACAGAUCAUGCAAGCAUUCUGCGUGUUCCAUUCAGAAUGGAGAAGGGAAUUCUCCAGACUUAUAUGGAGGUAUCUUGUUCCUGCUGACUUAACUGUGGGGCAAUUUGUUUAGGUGAUUCGAAAGAGUAUGAAUCUGACCCAUGAGAAGGCCAUUUUCUUCUUUGUGAAGAAUAUUUUGCCACCCACUGGUAAGGAAUUUGAGACAAAUUUCAUUACUUC